AGCGAACGCUGGCGGCAGGCUUAACACAUGCAAGUCGAGCGGGAACUUUCGGGUGUCAGCGGCGGACGGGUGAGUGACGCGGUGAAACGUACGCUCGGGUUCGGAAUAACGCAGGGAAACUUCAGCUACUAACGGAUACGCACAUUUGAGGGGAGGCUUGCUGCCGGGGGCGCGGCUGUAGUCUGUUUACGGAGGUGGUAGGGUAAGCGCUUACCAAGGUGGCGAGUGGUAGCUGGUCUGAGAGAGUGACCAGCCACGCUGGGACUGGGACACGGCCCAGACUCCUACGCAAGGGAGGAGUGGGUAAUAUUGGACAAUGGGCGCAAGCCUGAUCCAGCCAUGCCGGGUAAGUGAUGAAGGCCGUAGGGUAGUAAAUCUGUUUUAUCCGGGACGAUAAUGACGGUACCGGAGGAAUAAGCCCCGGCUAACUACGUG
rnacentral:rRNA from 1 species